rnacentral:misc_RNA from 1 species
GUUGAACUUCCUCUAUUUCCAUUAUAGAUGUAAUGGGUGCACCAUUUGCACUAGUCUUAGCUUCAGUUCCAUCUGGUUGUUUGGGAUUUUCCUUCACUCUCUCAAUAUUUUGCACCAUAUAUAACUUUUCAAGAAGUUCAGAAGUCAUAAUGCCGUCUUCUCGUAAAUCAGAUGAAGCCUGCCAAGUUUUCACAGCACGCUCAGUCCCACUAGAGAAGCUGGAGAACUCCAUAUCUUCCUCACCACAAUAAAAGCCCAGUUUUAACAAUUGUUCCUGCAUCAGUCGAACUUCAUCUCCUUCAGAUCCCUUUUUCAAACUCCGCCUCUUCUUGGCUUUGUUACCCUCUCCUUCCAAUUCUUUAGGAACUUCCCUAAUCACCUUCUCCUGUUGUGGUUCUUCCUUGACAAUAACCUCGUUUUGCUUUGCUUCUUCUAAAACUAAUGGCAA